GACGAACGCUGGCGGCGUGCUUAACACAUGCAAGUCGAACGAAGUGGCGAACGGGUGAGUAAUACGUGAGUAACCUGCCCUCCUUUUUGGGAUAAGCCUUGGAAACGGGGUCUAAUACCGACUACAGGGGGAUGGGCUCGCGGCCUAUCGGCUUGUUGGUGGGGUGAUGGCCUACCAGGGCGGUGACGGGUAGCCGGCAUGGGAGGGGGCCCGGCCACAUUGGGACUGAGAUACGGCCCAAACGCCUACGUGGGGCAGCAGGGGGGAAUAUUGCACAAUGGGGGAAACCCUGAUGCAGAAGCGCCGGGUGCGGAAUGACGGCCUUCGGGUUGGAAACCGCUUUCAGCCAUGACGCGGUAGUGGCAGAAGAAGCACCGGCUAACUACGUGCCAGCCGCCGCGGUAAUUC
rnacentral:rRNA from 1 species